CUCGCUCAGCGGUGCCUGGAUAUGCACAAAAAUAUGGAGAAACGUAGUAUGAGUACACCACAUAUGGUGCCCAGUAAACAUCAAGACUAACCUCAAUGGAGUGGUGAUGAGGUUCAAGUCAAGACACUCACUAGACAUAUAACUUGUACAGAAAUAUCAAUAUAGAACUAACAACGAAAAUCGUAAUCAAUGAAUGACAACAAAAAGUAAUCAUGUGAUAAUACGAAAAAUUAACCAAAACAAGAAAAAACACCUUGAAAUCGGUUAAGCAAACAAUGAUAUGUUCAAAUCAUCAAUCCGUUCCAAUACAGGAAUAACAACAAGAAUUACACUAAGGUACAACACCUCAUAAUCACAAAUCUCAAGCCACCCUUAUGUCGUUGUGUAAUCUUCAAAUUUUAAAAAUAUUUUUCCCGAAAUAGUGCACAUAAGCCCCCUUAUCUCGCCGUGUGUGCAUCAUAAUAAAGUAUUUUUCCUGACUAGCACCACGCACAUAAGCCCUCUUAUCUUGCCGCAUACACAUCAAUAUACACACCACCCUUAUGUUGCAGCAUGCGCAUCCCAAUCGAAACACAACAAUCAACCGCACAUCACGUUGCCAUAUGGAAAAAUAUAGCUCAAACAACAAUACCAAUACCACAACAAUACAUAGCCCACGACUCAACAACAAUAUUUACAAGAAUUAAAACAACAAUACAAUACUACGGGAAGUAAAUCAACAAUGAAAUAUGCUUCAUAUAACAACAACUUCAAUCAAGUCAUAUUAAUAGCCUAUGAGUCCAAUCUUAUCAAUUACCACAUGUAAGACCGUGUACACACUCGUUACCUCGUGUACACGUGUUUUUACACAGUACAAGUAGUACAAAUUGACCAAAUCCUAAGGGACAGUUUCCCCAUAUAAAUUUAGGCAAGAUACUUACCUCAAUUAGGUCAAUUCAAUACUAUAAAAGUAUUUUUCCCUUAAAUUCACCUCCGCUUGGCUCAAGUAUAGCCAAAAAUGAAUUAAUAAUGUCAAACAAUGCAAGAAUAUCAGUAUCAAUUAAAAAAAUUAAAAUCUUUAAGAAAAUUCCUCAAAAGUCAAAAAAAGUCAAUCUCAGACUUUCCUGGUCAAAAUGCGAAUCGAUGGAUAGAUAUUGACUAUCCAUAACCCCACGAGUCCAUACAUGUGUUCUAUUUUUAAAUUCGAGUCCAAUUCGACUCUCAAAAUCUCAAAUUUUUCAUUUUUCAAAAUAUAGUAAAAGAUCCCCAAAAAUUUUCUUCAAAUCUCAUGAUUUAGAUGUUAAGACUCAUAAAUAAUCAUGUUAUAUGAUAAAAAAUGAGUUAAGAUUACUUACCCAACAACUUUGGAUGAAAUCUCCUCUUAAAAUCGCCUCCCACAGAGUGUAGGACUCAAAAUAUAGUAAAAUAAGACUAAGUCCCGAAAUUCGUACCUUUUGUUUAGCCGCGGAUGUUGAAAAUGAAACUUAGGGUUCGCAAUUAAGACCCUCACAAAUGUAACACAUGCAUCACAAAAGCGAACCAUGUCAGCCCACACACAUGUCGCAAUUGAGACAAAGGUUUUACAAUUGUGAUUACAACCUACUUCGCAAAAACAACCAUAUAGUCACAAAUGUGACCUAACCAAUCCACGUGAUACCUUCACAAAUGCGAUCAGGCUAUCGCAUUUGUGAUAUUUGAAUCCCCCUACCUUUUCACAAUUGCGAUGUUGUUGCUUGCAAUUGCAAUAAUUGCAGCACUAGCACACUAACAACCUGAAACAAGUCCAAACCCAUCUAAAACUGGUCCAAAAUUCACCUAAGCCCCGGGGCUCCACACCAAUCAUCCAUAACAUCCUAAAAUCAUCACAUGAACUCUUUCACAUGCUCAAAAUAUUAAAAUAACAUCCAAAACAACGAAUCAGACACCAACAAUUACAAUGAAACACAUGAUUCGCUAAAAUCACAACCAAAAAUUUGUUUCCUACCAAACAAACUUGGAAUGACAUCAAACUUUGAAUAAAAGUUCCAAAUGACAAAACACACCUAAUCCAAAUCAAAAUUCAAAACUAAUAUCCAUCAACUCAAACCAUAGGAAAACUUAAAAGCAUAACAAGCCAAAUCAACCUAGGAACCUUUGAAUCUAUAUCCGGGCAUAUAUAUAAGUCCAAAAUUACCAUACAAACCUAUUGGAAUCCUCAAAAUGUCUUUCCAGGGUCCAUUUCACAAAAGUGAAACCUCAGUAAACAUCUCCAACUUAAGCUUCCAAACUAAGAACCAAAUUAUCCAACUCAAACCAAAACCUCCCCGAAAUGAAACCAACCAUCUCCGCAAGUCAUAAAAUCAUAAAUACGCAUACAAAAGGCUUUAAAACAUAAAAUUACCGAUAAGAUCACUACGUUACCUCUAUUGUUGAGGUUAUCACUUAUUUAUAUUUCAUAUAAAGAAUUACGAGUUAUACACAAAUUAAUGAUAAAUAAUUAUUCCUUAAUAGUAACAUGUUUAAUUUCUAAUAACCGCUACAUAUGCCUAUUGGCUACCCCUACCUGACGCGUAUCAUCUAAUCUACAUUUUCCUACGUCUAUCAGCCACCCACCCUUAUAUUUACAUCCCAAAACACCAGAGUAAUCGCCUCACAUAUUUUCUUUCCCUUUUCAACUCUAUUUCUUUGAAGCUUUGAAUUCAAAAUAGGAUUUUAAAAUUAUAAUUUAUUAGCAUUGGGUAUUAAUGCAAAUGACUAAUAAUGUCAAUUAGAGUUUAUCUCUCAACUUUGAGGUAGUUUUAUGAAUAUUAGAUUUGAUUUUGACUAGAUUUUCAUAUUAAAACUCGAAUAUGAAGAAGAUCAUAUCAUAUACAAUACAAAUGACAUUAUUUACCCUAAAAUUGGGUAACAAUUGAAUUUGUACAUGAUUUAAAGGAUACGUGAUUUAAUUCAACAAGAAUAAUCAAGAAACAUAGAUACAUGAAUUAAAUAUGAAAAAACGAUCAAACGACUCGCAAAUUUUAGACUACUGAUGAUCUUAGAUUUAAUAAUAGGCCUGUCCUUGAUUGUGCCCUCGAUUUAAGCUAAGUCGUGAAUAAAAAAUAGAACAAGUGAGUAGAACUUCCAAGAGUAGCCUAAAGAACAAAAAUAAACUUUUAUUACCUUGAAUUGCAUGUCACAAAUGUGUCAGAUUAAAGAAGAACUUCCCCUUUAUAUAGUAAGAGAGUUUCAGUCUUAGUAAAAGUCUUAAAAAGGUAAAAAUCUUCUUUUUCUGGUAACUACUGAUCCAUAAUCAACAUCGAGCGAGAUUCAUGCCAUAAUAUCCGAUUAAGGGCGAAUAUCACGACCCUCUAUCCGUCAUGCAUAACCAUUCACUAUUCUCCCUAUGACUUUUAACUUAUACUUGUCCUGAGACGUGUCACUUUACUAUACCUGAUGAAAGAUAUAUAGCUCACUCUUCCUAGGUCUCGGUUCAAAGGGUUUCUAAUCCCGAUUAAUAUCUUUCAAAUCCGUGCUCUCCCUCCAUUCUCCAAUCAGGGUAACGGGAUCAUUUUACCCGUACACAGAUAGUCCUCUCAUUUUUUCGUAGAGGAGGUUUAACGAAAUGAUGAGAAGCAAUAGAUAGACCCCAGUUCCUUCCUUCGUAUUUUACAACCGUGGUGAUGGGUCAACAAAAUGUCCCAUCAGUCACAUCAUUCUGACUUCAGACAUGUGUCAGCCUCUGGUUGAUUGUCAUCAAAUUUGAAACGCCACGCAUUGAUUGUCCUUCCUCUAUAAAAGCUCCGACUCUUUUUAAUUUUCUACUUCCUGAUUCUAGAACUCUUAGACUUACCCUACAAUUUUCUACCUGCCUUUAACUCCUUCAAAUCAUUAUACAUUACUCCUUAGAACUUCAUAUUUCAUUUUCAAUCUUCAUACAUUUUUGAAUUUUCAACCCAGACCUCCAUAUAUUCAUCUCACCUUCAAAUCUUUAGAUUUUCUCUUCAAACCUUCAUAUUUUUCUUCAAACCUUCAUAUUUACCAGAUCUUGAUGGAAAAACAUUUUAAGUCCAUGCCUCAGCAAACCUCUCCUUUAUCUUCCAACCCGGUAACAAACUCAAAGGUGACCGUUCAUGAAGUGGCCCAAGAACCUCCUUUAAAUAGCUUCAUACCCGGGGGCUGCUCAAUUGGGAACGAAUUCCACUUCAAGAAGGCCUCCAGUGAACAUGACCGAGGCGAGGGAGCAUGGAGGUACAUCUGUUCCAUUACUGAGGAAACACUACCCAUAGUCCGUGUAGACUGUAAUUGGAAGGACAAGGAGGUGGUCGUCCCUAGGCCCAAUGACGACAUUACCACUCACGUGGACGGGUACUUAUGUAUUUACACUUACCCCUUUAUGCUUGAUCCAGUGGACCCCAUAGUUCUCGACUUAUGUAAAAGGUACAAGGUCUACCCUGGGUAGAUAUACCCGUAUUUUUGGGGAUUGUAAUCCUCCCCCGGCAUUUCAUGUACAACACCAAACAACCUCAGUUUACCCUCGGCCAUCUAUUUCAUCUAUACAGUCCCAUAAUCUUCUGAGGGGGUUUGAUCAAGAUCGUCCUUCGAGAAAGCAAGGCUCCAUUCUCGAGCAUCGAUAAGAAAAGAGAUCCAAGUUGGCAAGACAGGUUUGUUAAGGUAAAAAUUGAAGACCUCAUCCCCUUCGAAUUUCUACUGUUCCCGGAGAAUUGAAAUGUAUCCCGUAAGUGUUUUCCUACUCGAGUAUUUGGCACUCACUUUUAUUCUUAUUCAAAUUGCUUGUGUUUGGCGUUGUGCAGCGGUUGCUUGGGUUCCUAAUGUGAUCCCUAUUUCAAGGAGUGGAUCAAGGGGAUCUGCAAACAGAUGUCGUACCUCGAGCACACAUGGCGCAAACUUUCGAAAGGCAAGUGGAAUGCCUAUUCCCACGGUGAGGUUCUUUCUGAAUGAUUACAUCCUACAUCUGACUUAUAUUUUGUUAGGUAUUCUUCUUUCUCAUAGGUUUGCUUAAGACCAUCGAGCUCAGGCCGUUGAAUGAGGAUGAGGAUCCGUCUGCAUUUGCCGAACCCUUUACUUUAGGGUAGCCUAGGGCCGCUGCAGAGAAGGAGAAAAGGAAGUCCUUGGGCUCCCCAGACACUAAGGUGAGGAAGAAAAGGGCAGCCAUUUGGAUCCCAAAAACAAAAUAAGCACCAAGUCUAGAGUAUCAGAUUGUAAUUCCCUUUUCUAACUUAGAGAUUACCCCGAUGAUGAAAACCUCAAGUUUAUUGCUCAUGAUUUGACUCUCAACGAGGAGGAGCAGGCGAAAACUGAGAAAAGUGACCACGAGUUCGAUCUCUUUCUAGCCCGAGGACCAGAGGGAGAUACGGACACUACGGUCUCUAAAGAAGUCGCUCUAGUCUUGAAGGAGGUAGUUGGUUUCAUCGACAUGGUGAAGAUGCCAUCCUAUACCGAGUACAUGCUUGAAGAGGCCCAAUUAGGCAAAGAAAAGUCAAACAAGAUGGCAUUAGGCCAGAUGAUUCCCUCAACACGUUCUUCGAUGGCAUAAACAUGGUUGUGUUGGAGUACUUUUCUGGGCUUGGUAACUUGGAGGUCCCAAAAAAAGGAUGUGCCAUCAAGGGCGGGAAAGCCGAGAUCGAGCCUGAAAUUGGUGAAGCAAUUUCUUGCCCCGUGUGGACCCAAACCAUAAGAGAACAGUUAAUCUUACUGUCCCGGCAGGCGCUUGGGCAUUAUCGCUCUGGUAGGCAUGGCCAGCUACCUCUGUUUCUUUAUGACUGAGGAGGACCAGGAAAAGAUGAACGAGGUAGGCACAUCGAGUCUCUUCAACUAGGCAUAACAUUCACUGAACCGGUAAGACAUUCAUCCUUUGUAUCUUUUGCAGAUUUUGCUCAGCAUAUUCUAAUAACUUCAUUAUUUUCUAGGCUUCAAUGCCUCACCAUGAACGCUUCAUUCAGUCUCUCUUGGAGAUCAGAAAGCUCGAGUUCAAGUCAAAAAUCAAGUCUGAAAAAAGGACAUGUACAAAGCUCUUAGUGAACAACAAGACGAGGACCUCAAUGACCUCUUAAUUAUCCGAACCGAGAUGGAAAAGGCUCAUAAAGAGGCCUUGUCGGUGAAACAGGAGCACGCCGACUAGGUUGAGAAGGUAAGGAUUAUUAAGGCUCAAAAUGAGAAGCUAAAUCAUGGUGACUGAAAUGCAACUUCGUUGGUCCAAGAGAAGGUAGACUUGCUCGACCAACUUUGUGCUAAGAUGGACAAGGUAAAGACCGUGACCGAGAUGUGGAAGGCCAUGAUAUACCUAUUGGCUUCAAAAAAAGUGGUUGAAAAAUCAGAGCUGGCAUCGGUCAGGGACCAACUCUAGGUUGAAAAGGACAAGGUCGACAAGUGGUCUCCACUAUACAAUAAUAUCCUAGAAAAAAUAAACUUAGCCAUCACAGAAUGGGAUGCCACCGGCGAAGAAUAUGCCACACUGAGGUCUAAGUUGGAGGCAACUUGUAUUGAUUCCUCCAAUGUUGAGGAAAUGAUGGCCCAAUACAAAGCUAAUGGAGAGAUAGUGUGGCCCGCUUAAAGAUGAAGAGCGAGUACGUAAAGCAGCUAUCCCAAAGAGAGACCCUUGAGGAGGUUCAUGCCCGACGUUUUGACCUGUUAGCGAGAUUGAAGAAGCCAAGAUACUUAAGGCCAAGGUGAAAGAACUUUAUGAGCUUGAGGGUGCCGCAGUCUUUGAGGGUUCUAAGGGGUUCGACGGUUCUAGUGGUAAGUUCAGACCUGGUGAAGACCAGGCGUAAAUGCCUUAGUUAGAUUUUAGUUUUUCCUUGGGUAUUUUCUUUUUAUUUUGAGGUUGUGUGCCUUUGUAAAAAAAUUUUGGAAUAUAUAAAAUUUUCCCCUUUUGGAAACACCGUAACUUUACUUUCCUGCAUGUAUUUGCAAUUUUCUAUUUGUUUAUCGUUUGUAAUUUUCGUGCAUAAAAUCAAAUGUAGUCUAGAGCAUCCAUUCUUCAGAGGCUAGAACGAGACCCAAUUUUUAUAUUAACUCCAUGUAAAGCCCCAUAAAAUUUUACCUAGAACCCGAACUUUUUAGUUUUCAUAGUGCGAUGAGGAGUUGGAAGAAUAAUUUUGCAUAACAUGUCAUUUAUGCGGUCCACUAUCCGACCAUAGAGUCACUUUGCAGACCGCAAAUCGAUUGCAUAAUGCUAUAGAGCCAGAGCCAAAUAUGAAAGACAUUUUGUGGUCAACUGUUCAAACACGUAAUCAUUUCAUGGGCCGCACAAUUCAUCACAGAUUCAGUGUGAAAAAUUUUGAAUGGGUGUUUUACGGUCCGUUAUGCGACCACAUAAUUGGUCUGCAGACCGUAGACCUGACCUGAGUAGCCCAAGUUUGAUGAAUUUCACAGUCCAUUUUGCGGGCCGCAGACUUGAUAUGUUGUGUACUCUGCGAUCGCACAGUUGACUUUGAAAGGUCCAUUUUCUUUUCUUUUAAACUGACCCCAUUAUGAUUAAAAGCUAUUGGGGCUUGUUUAGAAAGCAAAAUAUGGUGUUUAGAGAGAUGAGAAGGGAUGCAGACAGAGGACGAAGGGCACCUAACAUCUCCCAACAUCAAAUCCUUUCCCAAGCCUUGAAAAUCAACAAGGAAAACUUGAUAGUUAUCUUCUAAAGAGGUACGGUUCCAUACUCUACAAUUUCGAGUUUGGGAUAGAAGAUGGAUAAUGGGGAGUGUGAUUCUUGGGUAUCAGAGUGUUAUUUAUGCAUGCAUGUACCAACAAGGUUUGUAGGAAGGUUGUUAAGCUCAAAUGGGUAGAUAUUGGGUUGUGGGAUGAAGGAAUCCACCAUAGAAGAACCUUGAAAUCAUACUGCACACAUAGUGUUUAAUGAAAUGCUCGAAUGAGUUGAAUACAUGAAUUUUUUCCUAAUUAUAGUUUGAUUAUGUAAUGCCUUUAAAUAGAUUGAAGUUGCAAGGGUUUCCAGAUCAUUGUAGUAAUUUAAGGAAAGCUCAAAUCGAGGUAUGUUGGCUAAACUUCUUUUGUAGAAUCGAAUUUCAUGUUGUACUCGUAAGUCUUAAGUGUGAUUGGCCAAUGUUCUUAUUCCUAACGUUCUAAGUUAGUCCUAACAAAUUUUAUUUUUUCAAUUAAGCAUUAUGUCAGAAAUUAUAUGCUUAAAAUGUGUUUCGAUUGCUUCUAUCACAUUAUGCUCUCUUUCUGUAAUGUGCUCAAGUAUGAUUUGUGAGCUAAAUUUAUAUAACUUCAAUUCGUGUUCCGAAUAAAGGUUAUUGUUCCAAAUCAUGAAAGAAAAUUAAAUAUGAUUAAGAGUAUUAUUGCUCAUAUACAUAUUUAAAGUUUUGGUUCCAUAGAUCUUGUUGUUGAAAGUGAAAGAAGUGAAAAUGAAAUGUAAAAUGUGGCCAUCGCGCCAAGCAUGAGAAUUAUACUUGUGGCCAAUAUUGCCAAUGAAAUGAAAGAGAAUGUGUGAAAUACUAUGAAACAAACCAUAAAUUCUUUAUAUAAUAAAUGAUAUGGGAAUAUCAUUAACCCCGAAACUACACGUGUCGGUGUAGGUGUGACUGAGGGAUAAAUCCCCGUACAGAUGUGUUGAGAUUGUUUCCCCCUAAAUGGGAUGAGAUGGUUGUAUCGAGAUUAUUUCCCCCUUGUUUGGGAUGAGAUAGUUGCUAACAUUGGAUUGUAUGUCGACUCACAAGGAAAAUAUAGGAAGAUAACCUAUCGGAUUGGGUCGAGAUCGGAUAUGCUGCACACAUGGUGUUGUUGUGGUGGGAUGUCUUGGGGUGAGACGCCUUAGCCGAUCGGGCUAAGAACAGACUCUAUGCUAAAAGCAUGGUGGUAUUGUGAUUCGAUGCCUUUGGGUGAGAUGGCUUAGCCAGUCGAGCCAUGAUCGAACUCCGUGCUAAAAAUAAUAUGGUAUAUCUGUGCUAAGGAAAUCCAGACCUAAAAUAUUGGAAUUUUCUUGAAACUUAUCUUGCUCCUAAUUUGAUGCUUUUAUAUUAUUUUAGGCUUUCCUUGAUUCUAUGUUGUUCCUUUUUAUGCUGUUACUCGAUUCAUUGAGAGGGUGUUUACUCUUACAUACUAGUACAAUUCCAUAUGUACUAACAUCCCUCUUGCCGGCGGCAUUUCAUCUUUAAUGGAUGCAUAUAGUUCCACAACAGGCAGCAUCGAGUGAUAGUGGUACACCCUUUCUCCUCAACUGACUUGGUGAGUCCCUCCUCAUUUUGGGGUCUUGUAUCUUUUGUCAUCUAUGUAUAGUGUUUUGAGGUAUAGAUGGAGCCUUGUUUCCCGCACGAUCAUGUUACUCUUUUAUGUCCAUUAGAAGCUUCGUAGACAUAGCGUAGGUUGUGAUGUGGUUUUGAGAAAGUCAAGCUAAAGAUGUUGUAUUUGUAUCACAUUUCCACCUAUAAACUAUGAAUGUGAAAUGUAAUAUUUUGGGAAUUUCUUAUUGAUGUACUAAUGGUAAUGAAUUUGGUAUUACUUAUGUAAUCUUCUCAUUAUCUAAUUAAUGGAAUAUAUUCUCACUUUGUUUAUGGGUAAGGUCGGGUAGGAAUCAUCUAGAAGACUUGCUCAACUAGAGUAGCUUAGUUGAGCACCGGCCAUGCUCUCCGAGGUUGGGGAGUGAGUCUCUGAAUUACUUAUGGCUUUGAAUCUUCGAUAAAACCGAAGCCUUUAAUAUGUUUAAGUGUCUUAGAUGAUGUUUUGCCGAGGGUAGUCUUUUAAUAAGUUUUGAUUUUUCUUAAGGGCCUUACUUUCUGAGUAAAAGCUUCGGACGUCUCCGGGAUUCAAUAGUACGGGUGGUACGAAUUUUUGUCGGUCUCCCCGAGUAGUGCAUCCUGUGGGCUUUAGAAUCCAAGAUAGGAGAAGUGAACUACGCAAUAAUUAAGUAUAAGGGAAUAAAAGAUUUCUUUCAUUGUUUAAUAUGUAAAGUACAUGAUCGGAGGUGUAUAAGCCUUGUGUUGCGGCUAUAGUGGACUACAUGAGCAUGGUUCGUACUACUGUUUGACCCUUACAAUGAAUCCUAACCACCAAACCUUAGAUUUUGACACAUAAAAUUUUUUUCCCUUGGUAAAGAUCUUAAUCUAGGGCUUGGAUGUUAUUGAUUUGGCGCAUAUGAUCAUCAUUUCUAGUUUAAGAACGGUCGUCAAAACUAAGGGUAUAACAUUUUACUAUUGUCUCUUAAAAACCUUGCCGAGAAAUGCGCUUCAGGGCAAAAUCGGUUCAAGGUAAAAAAAAAAGUACAACACGUAAUUUCAAACCUAAUAGCCACAUCCGCCCCUGGCUGAGUACCUACAUACGUUAGUUCGUAAUAUAAUAAAAUUAAAAAGGAAUUAAGUCCUUACCUUAGCAGUAUACCACUUUAAGUGUGCCACAUUCUAAUUAUUUGGUUGUUAAGCAUCGCUCCCGUUUGGGUUUAUAUGAACCUUUGACGGUUAUUCUGACAACUCCAUGCGGUCCUUCCCAAUUCGGGCGCAGUUUCGCUUCAUUUGAGUUCCUGGUAUGUAGUGUUACCUUUCUCAAUAGCAAGUCCCCGACUUGAAAAUAUCAUAAGUUGGCUCUUCGGUUGUAGUACCUUUCUACUCAUUGCUUCUGGGAGGCCAACUGGACUAGGUGCCCUCGUGAAUGGUUCCCAUAUGUGCCCUCGUAAACGUCUCUCAUAGUAUAUUUGGUCUCUUCUAGCCCUAAACAUCUGGAUAGUGGGUAGAAGAAAGAUCUCUUGAAAAUGCCCAUUCGACUAAGCUAAAUCUAGCAGCUUUGGUGUGCAGGGGUCUCGAUUCUUUGGGAAGACAAUUAUCCCGUCUUCAAGUAGUCUAUGCAUUUGUUCCAAUACCAAGUCAAACAUAUUGAAUUUACUUCGGCAUGAACUUCUUCUAUCAGUGUGUUCAUUAGUUGUACCACUGUCCCCGAGCUAAAUUCAUCAGAGUUGCCUGGCGACCCCAAGUUAGCCAGCGUAUUGGCCUCAAUAUUUUAAUCAUGGGGUACAUGAUACAGAGUCAAUUUCUUGAUUUGGUGCAGAGUUACUUGCAAUUUGUUUAAGUACCUCCGCAUCCGUUCUUCUUUUACUUCGAACGAUUUGUUGACUUGAUUUACCACGAGGAGGGAGUCAUAUUUGGCUUCUAUCAUUUCGACCCUAAGGCUCUUAGCCAGUUUCAGACCUGCAAUCAUGGCCUCAUACUCAGCUUCAUAAUUAGUUAAUUUUACAAUUAUAAUAGACUACCUAAUUAUACUUCAUGUAUGUGGUUUUAACACAAUAUCGAACUUAGGCCCCUUCGUAUUGGAGGCACCACCCAUGAACAGGGUCGAGAUUCCUGAUUAUCACUUGAGGUGAGUAUUUAUUCCUUUUUGACUUUCGGUAUUAAGGCCGGGGUAAAGUUAGCCAAAACGUAUGCCAUAAUCUUAGAUUUUAUGGCAGUUCGAGGCCGAUACACAAUAUCGCACCCACUAAUAUCCACGGCCCAUUUGGCCAAUCGGCCCGAGAGCUCGAGCUUAUGCAUGAUAUUUCUUCGUGGUUAAGAGGUUAUGAAACAUAUAGGGUAGCAUUGAAAGUAUGGUUUUAGCUUCCUAGAGGCGCUUAGCGAAGAUAGUAUUAACUUCUCUAGGUGAGGAUACCUCGAUUCGACAACGCCUAGAGUUUUAUUGACAUAGCAAAUAGGAAAUUGUUUCUGGCUUCAAAGUGUGCAAUAUAAGGGGGGUUUGAUAGGUAUAAUUUGAGUUCUUCCAAAGCUUGUUGGCAUUCCGGAGUCCAGGAAAAAUUCUUCUUCUUCUUCUUCUUCAAGAGUGAGAAAAAUCGAUGGCUCUUGUCCGCGGAGCUCAAGAUGAACUAGCCCAACACGUCUAUAUGCCCAAUCAUUCUUUGAACCUCCUUGAAGUUGUCCACUAUGGUGAUGUCCUCUAUGGCCUUUACUUUUUUGGGGUUGAACUCUAUCCCCCGAUUGGAUACCAUGAACCCAAGGAAUUUACUUGAACCGACCAUGAAUAAGCACUUCUCCUGGUUUAGCUUCAUGUUAUAUUUCCUUAGUAUGUCGAAGGUUUCAUGAAACUGUUUCAAAUGGUCCCCUUCUCGCAGGGACUUGACCAACAUAUCGUCAAUAUAAACUUCCAUUGAUUUCCCUAUUUUUUCUUCGAACAUCCAGUUUACUAGACAUUGUUAGGUGGUACUACCGUUCUUAUCCAAACGGCAUUACGUUAUAGCACUAGGUGCCGAAUUUGGCUAUGCAAGAAAUCUUUUCUUGAUCAUUCCCGUCCAUUCGAAUUUUGUUGUACCUGGAGUAGGCAUCAAGAAAACUGAGUGUCUCGUGCUCGGCCGUCGCGUCGAUCAUUCGAUCGAUGUUAGGCAAAGAUAAAGAAUCCAUAUGGCAUGCCUUGUUUAAGUCUUUAUUUUCACACCUCCUUUUUCCUACACCCCGGAAGGAGUAUAAUAAAUGGAGUUUUUCCAAUUAAAGGACGACCAAAACGGAAUUUAUUAUUAAAUUCAAUAUCGCCACUUGGGAUAUUUAUCGUGUCCCAAGUCACCAGUUUAAAUCCCGAAUUAAGGAAAGGAUUGACUCUGUAUUACAGUAUGCGAACAAGAAAUCCGGGUAAGGAAUUCUUUUAACCCGAGAGAAGGUGUCAGGCAUUCCCAGGGUUCCGUGGUUCUAGCACGGUUCCUCAACUGUUAUAAUUGGCCUAAUUAUCUGAUUUUAAAACAUGUUUAAACCUAUGAGCAUUUUUAACCUUUAAACCACUUUCAUUUAUGUAAGGAAAUUCAAGGAUAUUUAAAACACAUCUCGAGCCACGCUACUUGAAAUGCACGCGUGAAGUACGACGUCUUCUAUUUAACCUUGUUGGAAAUUAGAGCUGACUCGCAUGAAAUGCACACUGGGACUCGUUUAAUCUAAGUUGACAUAGUUCAGUCGAUGAAUAGCAACCCAAUUAUUAUACUAUGACACAGUCAUGUUCAACUAUAACCAAUUCGAGCAAGCAACGAAUACAUAACUAAAUGAGCAAAUUCAAAACCAUGAAAAAUAACUACACAAACAACGACAUCAUAUCACCAAAUUAUCAACGACACUCCGAAACUCACUAGCUUCCAGCCUUGAAUAUCCAACGAUAAUAGCAAAUUCACCUAAUUACCGGCAUAAGCAUAAUUUCUUGUUUUAAGAAAAAGGUGACAAGCAACUCGUUUGAAUCAAUUAGUAAAUAUUUAUACCUACAUCUGCUUUAUCAGACAAUACAAAGUGGAUCAUCUACACUACACAUGAAAACCAACACUAAUUUCUAACAAAAAUGUAAAUGAAACUCCAAUAACAGAAACAUGAUCAAAUUGAUUGCGGUGGAGCACAUAGUGGUAGCGCAGGAGAACAGGGAAUACAAGGUGAACAAUAUGCGGCAGAAUGCAAUUCUAUUCCUAGAGACAUCAACAGCUUAAACAAAGAUGAUAUACGUAGUUCAGAGGGUUCAAAUACGUAAUAUGAAGACAAAGUCAUCCGUAGAAAUUUCAAAACGCAACAAUCAGCCAUGUAUCUCAUUUCAACAAACAGACGGCCUACCUAGUCGUUAUAAUAUCAUACACCUGAUGCAAGGUCUAAAAAUGACAUAGAAAACAAUAAAAGCAGUAGAUAUCACAGUUAUAUUCAAAUAACUUACAAAACGAUUGGCUCAAUUGGAAGCGAACAGAUCUGAAAACGAACAGAGAACGACGAGCGAAACCUCGAUGACGACCUCAACGGCUCGAUGACUGGAAAACUCUCAUAUACUAUCAAUGUCUUUGCAGUAUCUCCGGCCAGUUUUGUGUGUGUUUACCAGUGUUUUCGUGAAUGGAAAAAACGGAAGAAGCAACAACGGCUGCCCUCUAUAUGUGUGGGGGCUAUUUUUUUAAUUCCCGGCGAUGGGAGGGGUCCGCUACUACUCGUCGUUCUAAGAGAUCGAGAGAGAUUGGAGGGCUCGUUCUCGCUGAAUUUGUGUAAGGGGCGACAGCUGAUGGGUCUCUGGUUGUUUGGGAUCGUGGGAAGUUACAGAACGGGGAGGGGGGUUUGAAGAAGAAGACGUGAAAGGGAGGGUCAUUUUUUCACUGUUGCGGUUGACUCUCCUGCUAUUUUCAGUGUUACUUUUUGUUCCUUUAUAGGUA
rnacentral:lncRNA from 1 species